rnacentral:piRNA from 1 species
GUUAACACGAGCCGCCUAUAGAUGGC